GACGAACGCUGGCGGCGUGCCUAAUACAUGCAAGUCGAACGGAAAGGCCCUGCGCUUGCUGGUCGCUCGAGUGGCGAACGCGUGAGUAUCACGCGAGUAUCACGCCCCUUACUUCGGGGGAUCAUCAUGAAACUGGGGCUCUAAUCCGGUAUGACCUUCUGCGGCACGUUGGGGUUUGGAAAAUGUCGGCGGUUCUGGAAGGACUCGCGGCUUAUCAGCUUGUUGGUGGGGUAGUGGCGUACCAAGGCUUCGACGGGUAGCCGGCCUGCGAGGGUGACCGGGCACAUUGGGACUGGGGUACGGGCCAGAGUGAAACGGGAGGCAGGGGGGGAAAAUAUUGCGCAAUAAGCGGAAGCCUGAUAGAACGGUGUCGGGUGCGGAAGAACGGGCUUCGGGUUAUAAACAGCUUUCGACUGUAACGAACACUGAGUGACGGUAACGGAUCAGAAAGCAACGGCUAACUACGUG
rnacentral:rRNA from 1 species